rnacentral:misc_RNA from 1 species
GAUGAAGAACGUAGUGAAAUGCGACAAGUAAUGUGAAUUGCAGAAUUCCGUGAAUCAUCGAAUCUUUGAACGCACAUUGCGCCCUGUGGUAUUCCGCAGGGCAUGCCUGUUCGAGCGUCAUUUCAACCCUCAAGCUCUGCUUGGUGUUGGGCCCUGCCCGCUGCGGCCGGCCCUAAAGACAGUGGCGGUGCCGCCUGGCCCUGAGCGUAGUACAUCUCUCGCUCCAGUGCCCGGUGGUAGCCUGCCAGAACCCCAACUCUCGUGGUUGACCUCGGAUCAGGUAGGGAUACCCGCUGAACUUAAGCAUAUCAAUAAGCGGAGGA